GAUGAACGCUGGCGGCGUGCCUAAUACAUGCAAGUCGAGCGAUGCGAGGACGGGUGAGGAACCCGUGGAAAAACUCUUAUAAGAAUGGGCUAACUUCGGGCAACCCGACCUACACCGGCUACUUUUAGUUGGAUCCGCGCUGCAUUAGCUAGUUGGUAAGUAAACGGCUUACCAAGGCCACGCGGCAUAGCCGACCUAAGCGGGGGAUCGGCAACACUGGAACUGAGAAACGGUUCAGGCGCCUACGGGAGGCAGCAGUAGGGAAUCUUCCGCAAUGGGCGAAAGCCUGACGGAGCAACGCCGCGUGAGUGAUGAAGGUCUUCGGAUCGUAAAACUCUGUCAUUAGGGAAGCGGUACCUAAUCAGAAAGCCACGGCUAACUACGUGCCAGCAGCCGCGGUAAUAC
rnacentral:rRNA from 1 species